rnacentral:rRNA from 1 species
GAUAACCCCGGGAAACUGGGUAUAAUACCCGAUAGGUCUCGAUUGCUGGAAUGCAUCGAGAUUUAAAGCUCCGGCGCCUAAGGAUGGGUCUGCGGCCUAUCAGGUAGUAGUGGGUGUAGCGUACCUACUAGCCUACGACGGGUACGGGCUGUGAGAGCAAGAGCCCGGAGAUGGAUUCUGAGACACGAAUCCAGGCCCUACGGGGUGCAGCAGGCGCGAAAACUUUACAAUGCUGGCAACAGCGAUAAGGGAACCUCGAGUGCCAGGUUACAAAUCUGGCUGUCGAGAUGCCUAAAAAGCAUUUCAUAGCAAGGGCCGGGCAAGACCGGUGCCAGCCGCCGCGGUAACACCGGCGGCUCGAGUGGUAACCGUUAUUAUUGGGUCUAAAGGGUCUGUAGCCGGCCGGAUAAGUCUCUUGGGAAAUCUGGCAGCUUAACUGUCAGGCUUUCAGGAGAUACUGUCUGGCUCGAGGCCGGGAGAGGUGAGAGGUACUUCAGGGGUAGGGGUGAAAUCUUGUAAUCCUUGAUGGACCACCAGUGGCGAAGGCGUCUCACCAGAACGGACCUGACGGCAAGGGACGAAAGCUAGGGGCACGAACCGGAUUAGAUACCCGGGUAGUCCUAGCCGUAAACGAUACUCGCUAGGUGUCGGCCACGGUGCGACCGUUGUCGGUGCCGUACGGAAGCCGUGAAGCGAGCCACCUGGGAAGUACGGCCGCAAGGCUGAAACUUAAAGGAAUUGGCGGGGGAGCACCACAACGGGUGGAGCUUGCGGUUUAAUUGGAUUCAACGCCGGAAAUCUUACCGGGACCGACAGCAAUAUGAAGGCCAGGCUGAAGACUUUGCCGGAUUAGCUGAGAGUGGUGCAU